rnacentral:rRNA from 1 species
UACGGGGGGGGCAAGCGUUGUUCGGAAUUACUGGGCGUAAAGGGCUCGUAGGCGGCCAACUAAGUCGGAUGUGAAAUCCCCAGGCUUAACUUGGGAACUGCAUCCGAUACUGGAUGGCUUGAAUCCGGGAGAGGGAUGCGGAAUUCCAGGUGUAGCGGUGAAAUGCGUAGAUAUCAGGAAGAACACCCGUGGCGAAAGCGGCUCUCUGGAACGGUACUGACGCUGAGACGCGAAAGCGUGGGGAGCGAACAGG